rnacentral:lncRNA from 1 species
AGCUGGAGACAAUGACUCGCCCCUCCCUCACUAGCAGUCAAUAGUUCAGCAGGAAAAUGAGCUGUUGAGUUCCGCCCCUUCCUUGACUGACGGUUGACUUGUCCAAUCUUCUGCAGAUCCGCGGCUGGGCACUACAGUUGCAGGUUCCCUAGAAUUGGGUGGCAUUAAUGUGCUUUUUAGGACUGAACACUCAACCCUCCCUCAUCAUCAGCACCUUGAGCUGGGUCUCUGUUCUCACUGCUACUCACUGUAGCUUGAAGCCUCUCUGAGUAAGGCGGAGAAGAGCCUUUGUCAGGCCAACGCGACCGCAGAGAAUGUGGAGUCCCUGCCAGUCCUUUGCUGACCUCCAGUACUGUUAGGAAAAAAAAGAAGAAAGAAAGAAAGAAAGAAAGAAAGAAAGAAAGAAAGGAAGAAAGGAAGGAAGGAAGGAAGGAAGGAAGGAAGGAAGGAAGGAAGGAAGGAAGGAAGAGCUGAACAGAGAAGAUGUCAACAUUUCACUUCCAUAACCAGCUUUUAUAGGAUGCUGGGGAGGAACAGUGCAUCUUCUUAUUCGCUGAAGCAUGUUACAAAGCCCAGACUCAGCCCUGAUUACAGCCUUUCACCUCCCAGUUAGAGCGGCCCCGCCCCCACCCAGCUUCUUCCCUACUGUAGGGGCCCAUCCUCAUUGAAAAGAGCUGCAUUGGAAGUGUGCUCUCAGUACUUCCUUAGUGGGCUGUCUAUCCCAUUGGUCAGGGAGCUCCCUAGUGGGCCACAGAGUGCAAGAGCAACUCUGUGUGUUAAUAGGAUGUCCGCACCAAGGAAUCUUAUGCAGUAUUAGGACAGCUAUAGUCAAAAUGGCACAUGUGAGCAAUCCUUGGUGAAGACGUAGAGAAAUGGGAGUCCUUCUAUAUUCUGCCAAUGGGAAAGUCACAACGUUGAGUAGGGCUCACAAGAACAGAGCCAAGAGAACGUAUAUAUGCUAUGAAAGGGUUUCGUUAGAAUGACUGACGUGGUGGUUGGCCAAUAAGAGCCUUCUGCAAGCUAGAGAGGCAUAGAGUCCUCUAUCUGCUCAGUUCACAAAGCUGGAUGCCUCUGUGGUCUCAGGCUGGCUCUGUAGGCCUGCUGGGUUUCUGCAAAACCUUUGCUCUUUAGUUCAGGUUGCAAAGCUUGAGAAACUGCAGCAGGAACAAGGUUCGAUAGUCAGGA